CCACCAUGCUCAGCCCUUUCUCUAGGAAUUGUGUAUGUGAAGAUAAAAAGCUGGCCAGACUUCCCACUCUCCUUCCGCUUCUAUCCCUGUGCGCUGAGGCCUCCGAGGAGCCCUCUGAGGCUUCUGAUUUGCGACCUGGAGGAAAUUGCCCGUGUGCUCGGAGGAAUGCCUGCAUGACACUCUUGUGUGAGAGAGGAAUAGACGUCUUUUGUAUUAAACCACUGCAGUGUCGGGGUUUAUUUGUUCCCUAUGCAGUGCCUCUUACUUCACCAGCACCCAGCCUAGCAGAUCGCUUGAGCUCUGAACCUCUGGUGGGGCUGAAUGGCGGGAUUAGGAAGUGAUACCAGUCUUUGAAAGUCUCCCUCACUGAGUCACUUGAUCCUCAUUCACUCAGGGCUCAUAAGCCGAAUACCUGGCGCUGAUGAUGCAGAGAUGACACUGCCCUGCUCUUACAGGAGGUACAACCCAGUGGAGAGAACAGGCGGAAAGUCCAACAGCCACGCCCCCCUCUCUCUACUCACUUUCCCCCAGGGUCUUCCUGGGCUGAUGUUUCCUAGAGAGUUGAGGGAGAUGUUCCAAGCUGAGCAGGUGAAAGGGACAGUACCAGGGAGAGGGCCAUCGGCCAGAGAGGUCAGCGGCAGGUAGGAGCAGGGACAUGUCGUAGGUGGAGGAGAGACAUUGGUCCUGGGGCUGCCAGGGGCUGAAGUGUUGAUGUUAACUGCCGGGAUCACUGUCAGCCAAUCAGGGCUGCCACGUACAGUUGCUCAGCCUCGCACUGCUCAGGGAGGAUGAGUAGAGGCUGGCACCUGGAGAAAUGUGUCUGUACAGAGCAGGGGUACUUUUCUCUGACUAUCACAAACAUGCCAAAUGAGUCAGGUGCCCUGAUACCAGUGAACUCAGGGUCAGCACUUAAACUCAUUGCUUAUUAGUGAUGAGACUUCACAGAAGUAGG
rnacentral:lncRNA from 10 species